rnacentral:rRNA from 1 species
UAGGGAAUAUUGGGCAAUGGACGCAAGUCUGACCCAGCCAUGCCGCGUGCAGGAUGAAGGCCUUCUGGGUUGUAAACUGCUUUUAUCUAGGAAGAGAACACCCAUGCGUGGGAAACUGACGGUACUAGAUGAAUAAGCACCGGCUAACUCCGUGCCAGCAGCCGCGGUAAUACGGAGGGUGCAAGCGUUGUCCGGAUUUAUUGGGUUUAAAGGGUGCGUAGGCGGCCCGGUAAGUCAGUGGUGAAAGCCUCCAGCUCAACUGGAGAACUGCCAUUGAUACUGCCGGGCUUGAGUACAGACGAGGUUGGCGGAAUUGAUUGUGUAGCGGUGAAAUGCAUAGAUACAAUCAAGAACUCCGAUUGCGUAGGCAGCUAACUAGGCUGUAACUGACGCUGAGGCACGAAAGCGUGGGGAGCGAAC